rnacentral:lncRNA from 1 species
AUCCAUUAACAAGUGAUGAGAGGAACAGAAAACACUGAAAGCAGCAUUUUUCAGGAAAAGCUAUAGUGGCAAUGUAGAGUAGUCACCUUGUGUUUCAUGUUCUAACAAAGAAGCUUCCUAACUAUUUCUUGAAGCUCUUGAUUCUUCUAUCAAACACAUAAACGUUCCUUAAUAUUGUUGGAUAGGUAAUAAGAGCAAUAUCCACAAUCUUAGGCUUAUUUGAUCCAGCAAUGAGUCAUUCUAUCCAAUAUGACAGCAUGAUGUAGCUCAGCAAAGGACCAUCACUGUACUACUUGGCAUUCACAAUACGACAACAAUAAAACGAGCAAUCAAGAAGGCCUCUUGAUUGAUGAUCAACCCACUUCUUCAAGAUCUAAAACUGAUUUGUGUCAUCUAAAGUUAAUUUUAGGAGAUAGCCCAUCUAACAUUAGUAUAAGAAGUAUAUAAUAUUGCAUAUUCUGGUAUUUUGGAGACUGAGAUUGUCGUUACAUACUGAUAUUGUGUUUAACUUAGUCUUGUUGACACAACAGGCAUCUAGUUUCAAUAUAAAGGUAAUUGAAUAAGGCUUCCUAAUUAUGGCAAUGCCUGAAACGGUAAAGACAGCACCCUUUUCUAGGUAAAGACACAUCUUUUCAGAAUUGUAUUUUAAUCAUUUCACAUGUAAGCAUGUAAAAUUUCAAAUUUUGUGAGUAAUCUAGAUAUCGGUGGUGGUAUGACAGACGUUCACAGCAUGGCAGAGAAAGCUCAACACAAGAGUGAAAAGAAGAAAAAACAACCUGCCAAUGAAGUGGAGAUGCGCUUCUAUGAUGCUAUGCAACCAAUGUACACCUUGGUGAUUCAUCUCUGGCAAGCGCAACGUAUGUGGUUGAUUGAAGAAAAAUGAAUGCUACGAAUAUAAGUUUUGG